GGAGAGAUGGCUGAGUGGUUGAUAG
rnacentral:tRNA from 5 species